rnacentral:rRNA from 1 species
AUUGAACGCUGGCGGCAUGCUUUACACAUGCAAGUCGAACGGUAACAGGCCUUCGGGCGCUGACGAGUGGCGAACGGGUGAGUAAUGCAUCGGAACGUGCCCAGUCGUGGGGGAUAACGCAGCGAAAGCUGUGCUAAUACCGCAUACGAUCUGCGGAUGAAAGCGGGGGACCUUCGGGCCUCGCGCGAUUGGAGCGGCCGAUGUCAGAUUAGGUAGUUGGUGGGGUAAAGGCUCACCAAGCCAACGAUCUGUAGCUGGUCUGAGAGGACGACCAGCCACAGUGGGACUGAGAGCCGGCCCAGACUCCGACGGGAGGCAGCAGGGGGGAAUUUUGGACAAUGGGCGCAAGCCUGGUCCAGCAAUGCCGCGUGCAGGAAGAAGGCCUUCGGGUUGUAAACUGCUUUUGUACGGAGCGAAAAGGCUCCCUCUAAUACAGGGGGCUCAUGACGGUACCGUAAGAAUAAGCACCGGCUAACUACGUGCCAGCCGCCGCCGUAAAAC